AUCAAGAAGCGGAACUUGUUUUGUCUUGUACGAUGGAUUUCCUUUUUCGAUUACCUGGUGCAACGUUACUUUAGUUUUUUGAAUAGGAGAUUUAUCUACAUGCAAAACGGUACAGUUAAAUGGUUCAACGCUGACAAGGGUUAUGGCUUCAUCACUGGUGACGACGGCAAGGAUGUAUUCGUACAUUUCUCCGCUAUCCAAGGCGACGGCUACAAGUCUUUGGACGAAGGCCAAGCAGUAUCCUACGACGUUGAACAAUCCGAUCGUGGCCCGCAAGCUACGAACGUUGUUAAGCACUAAUCUCUGAUUAGGGUGAAUCCCCUGGGCGCAAGCUCAGGGGAUUUUU
rnacentral:other from 1 species